AGUUCCCUGGAACGGGACGCCGGAGAGGGUGAGAGCCCCGUACAGGCGGACGCCGAGCCUCUGUGAAACUCCUUCGACGAGUCGAGUAGUUUGGGAAUGCUGCUCAAAGCGGGGAGGUAAAUUUCUUCUAAAGCUAAAUAUAGGCCAGAGACCGAUAGCGCACAAGUAGAGUGAUCGAAAGAUGAAAAGCACUUUGAAAAGAGGGUUAAAAAGCACGUGAAAUUGUUGAAAGGGAAGCGCCUGUGACCAGACUCGCGCCCGGCGUAUCAUCCGGCGUUCUCGCCGGUGCACUACGCCGGGCUCGGGCCAGCAUCGGUUCUGGUGGGGGGAUAAAGGCGGCGGGGAUGUGGCUCCCCCGGGAGUGUUAUAGCCCGCCGCUCAAUGCCCUCGCCGGGACCGAGGACCGCGCAUUGCAAGGAUGCUGGCGUAAUGGUCACCAGCGACCCGUCUUGAAACACGGACCAAGGAGUCAAGCAUUAGGGCGAGUGUUUGGGUGUAAAACCCGCACGCGAAAUGAAAGUGAACGUAGGUGG
rnacentral:rRNA from 1 species